rnacentral:lncRNA from 1 species
CAUAAACCAUCAAACUUGGCAUUCCUUAAAUAAUCUUGAGUGCUUUAUUGUUUGCAAGUCUAGGUUAAACAAGUUCUUCAAUCUCAUUCAUUUGACUGUUUGGGGAACCCCAUCCUUCCAUCCUAAAACUGAUGUUUCACCAAAAUCCACUCGUCUUUUUCACGCUCCUAAUGAAAGCUUCAACUUACCUAACCUACUCGAGUACUUGACCUUAUAACACCCACAGAAUCUUACAAGCAAGACAUUUCAGCCUAAUUCUUCUUCAAUGCAUGC